GGGUGAUUAGCUCAGCUGGGAGAGCAUCGCCCUUACAAGGCGAGGGUCACUGGUUCGAACCCAGUAUCACCCA
rfam:Hydrogenovibrio marinus strain MH-110 scaffold00001, whole genome shotgun sequence.